rnacentral:rRNA from 1 species
GACGAACGCUGGCGGCGUGCCUAAUACAUGCAAGUUGAGCGCUGAAGGUUGGUACUUGUACCGACUGGAUGAGCAGCGAACGGGUGAGUAACGCGUGGGGAAUCUGCCUUUGAGCGGGGGACAACAUUUGGAAACGAAUGCUAAUACCGCAUAAAAACUUUAAACACAAGUUUUAAGUUUGAAAGAUGCAAUUGCAUCACUCAAAGAUGAUCCCGCGUUGUAUUAGCUAGUUGGUGAGGUAAAGGCUCACCAAGGCGAUGAUACAUAGCCGACCUGAGAGGGUGAUCGGCCAAAUUGGGACUGGGACACGGCCCAAACUCCUACGGGAGGCAGCAGUAGGGAAACUUCGGCAAUGGACGAAAGUCUGACCGGGCAACGCCGCGGGAGUGAAGAAGGUUUUCGGAUCGUAAAACUCUGUUGGUAGGGAAGAACGUUGGUGAGAGUGGAAAGCUCAUCAAGUGACGGUAACUACCCAGAAAGGGACGGCUAACUACGUG